GGGGAGUGGCGAACGGGUGAGUAACGCGUGGGAACCUACCCAGCAGUUGGGGAUAACCGCGGGAAACUGCGGCUAAUACCGAAUACGUCCUUAGGGAGAAAGAUUUAUCGCUGUUGGAGGGGCCCGCGUCGGAUUAGCUAGUUGGUGAGGUAACGGCUCACCAAGGCGACGAUCCGUAGCUGGUCUGAGAGGAUGAUCAGCCACACUGGGACUUAGACACGGCCCAGACUCCUACGGGAGGCAGCAGUGGGGAAUAUUGGACGAUGGGGGCAACCCUGAUCCAGCAAUGCCGCGUGAGUGAUGAAGGCCUUAGGGUUGUAAAGCUCUUUUACCGGGGACGAUGAUGACGGUACCCGGAGAAUAAGCCCCGGCUAACUUCGUGCCAGCAGCCGCGGUAAUACGAAGGGGGCGAGCGUUGUUCGGAGUUACUGGGCGUAAAGGGCGCGUAGGCGGCGCUCCAAGUUAGGCGUGAAAGCCCCGGGCUCAACCUGGGAAUUGCGCUUAAGACUGGAGUGCUCGAGUGCGGAAGAGGUGAGUGGAAUUCCCAGUGUAGAGGUGAGAUUCGUAGAUAUUGGGAAGAACACCAGUGGCGAAGGCGGCUCACUGGUCCGCAACUGACGCUGAGGCGCGAAAGCGUGGGGAGCAAACAGGAUUAGAUACCCUGGUAGUCCACGCCGUAAACGAUGAGUGCUAGACGUUGGGGGACUCAGUCCCUUGGUGUCGCAGCUAACGCAUGAAGCACUCCGCCUGGGGAGUACGGCCGCAAGGUUAAAACUCAAAGGAAUUGACGGGGGCCCGCACAAGCGGUGGAGCAUGUGG
rnacentral:rRNA from 1 species